GAUGAACGCUGGCGGCGUGCCUAAUACAUGCAAGUCGAGCGAACAGACGAGGAGCUUGCUCCUCUGACGUUAGCGGCGGACGGGUGAGUAACACGUGGAUAACCUACCUAUAAGACUGGGAUAACUUCGGGAAACCGGAGCUAAUACCGGAUAAUAUAUUGAACCGCAUGGUUCAAUAGUGAAAGACGGUUUUGCUGUCACUUAUAGAUGGAUCCGCGCCGCAUUAGCUAGUUGGUAAGGUAACGGCUUACCAAGGCAACGAUGCGUAGCCGACCUGAGAGGUGGAUGGGCACCACUGGAACUAAAACACGGUCCGGACUCCAACGGGAGGCAGCGGUAGGAAAUCUUCCGCAAUGGGCGAAAGCCUGACGAACCAACGCCGCGGGGGUGAUGAAGGUCUUCGGAUCGUAAAACUCUGUUAUUAGGGAAAAACAAAUGUGUAAGUAACUAUGCACGUCUGAACGGAACCUAAUCAGAAGGCCACGGCUAACUACUU
rnacentral:rRNA from 1 species